GACGAACGCUGGCGGCGUGCCUAAUACAUGCAAGUCGAACGCUUCUUUCCUCCCGAGUGCUUGCACUCAAUUGGAAAGAGGAGUGGCGGACGGGUGAGUAACACGUGGGUAACCUACCCAUCAGAGGGGGAUAACACUUGGAAACAGGUGCUAAUACCGCAUAACAGUUUAUGCCGCAUGGCAUAAGAGUGAAAGGCGCUUUCGGGUGUCGCUGAUGGAUGGACCCGCGGUGCAUUAGCUAGUUGGUGAGGUAACGGCUCACCAAGGCCACGAUGCAUAGCCGACCUGAGAGGGUGAUCGGCCAAACUGGGACUGAGACACGGCCCAGACUCCUACGGGAGGCAGCAGUAGGGAAUCUUCGGCAAUGGACGAAAGUCUGACCGAGCAACGCCGCGUGAGUGAAGAAGGUUUUCGGAUCGUAAAACUCUGUUGUUAGAGAAGAACAAGGACGUUAGUAACUGAACGUCCCCUGACGGUAUCUAACCAGAAAGCCACGGCUAACUACGUG
rnacentral:rRNA from 1 species